CAAUAAAAAUGAUGAUCAAAAGUGGAAUAUAAAGUCAAUGUAUAAAGAGGGUGUUUUGAUGAAGAGUGCUUACAAAAGAUUUUUGAUUUUUUUAUUCUUUGUGGUCAUCUGGUAACUGAAAUAUUUGUAAAAUAUGGAUGAAGCUAACACGAGCCAAUCCAUCUCUUCUGAUGAUCAAGAGUUUGAAGUUACCGCUGAAAUGAUGAUAGAUGAGGAUGACUAUGAGGAUACAAUCGAUGAAGAAGAAGAGUUAGAUGAAGGCGAUGAGGAUGAAUUAGCGGAUCUUC
rnacentral:lncRNA from 1 species